rnacentral:rRNA from 1 species
UCAGAACGAACGCGGGCGGCGUGCCUAACACAUGCAAGUCGAACGAGAAGUACGUAGCAAUACGUAUUGUAAAGUGGCGCACGGGUGAGUAACACGUGGGUAAUCUGCCCUUGAGUUUGGGAUAACCCCGCGAAAGCGGGGCUAAUACCGACUAAGACCACGGGGACCAAAGUCCCUGAGGUAAAAGACGGCCUCUAUUUAUAAGCUGUCACUUGAGGAUGAGCCCGCGGCCCAUUAGCUAGUUGGCAGGGUAACGGCCUACCAAGGCGAUGAUGGGUAGCCGGCCUGAGAGGGUGUACGGCCACACUGGAACUGAGACACGGUCCAGACUCCUACGGGAGGCAGCAGCGAAGAAUCUUCCGCAAUGGGGGAAACCCUGACGGAGCGACGCCGCGUGGGCGAUGAAGGUCGUAAGAUUGUAAAGCCCUUUUGUUGGUGAAGAAUAAGGUGAGGAGUGGAAAGCCUCAUCGAUGACGUUAGCCGACGAAUAAGCCCCGGCCAAUUACGUGCCAGCAGCCGCGGUAAUACGUAUGGGGCAAGCGUUGUUCGGAGUUAUUGGGCGUAAAGGGCGUGUAGGCGGUUCAUCAAGUCUGGUGUGAAAUAUCUGGGCUUAACCCAGGGGAUGCGCUGGAAACUGGUGGACUUGAGUUCCUGAGGGGAAGCUGGAAUUCCAGGUGUAGGGGUGAAAUCUGUAGAUAUCUGGAAGAACACCGGUGGCGAAGGCGAGCUUCUAUCAGAGGACUGACGCUGAGGCGCGAAAGCGUGGGGAGCAAACAGGAUUAGAUACCCUGGUAGUC